AUCUUGGAAUGUUGCGAAUGCAGAAUUAGGUUCGUGAUUCACCACCAGAUUUUCGACACUGAUGUGCAGUAUGCAUUAUCCCGAGUUCAACGCGCUGUGGCUGGAGUGGCAAACGGAAGUGGGGACCAUUGAAAUUGAGCGAAUUGUUAUCUGUGCUUCAAGAUUUUCUAUCUAGUAAAGAACUGCAAUAUUCAAGUUGAUAUGCAGUUCAUCUUCAUCUUU